rnacentral:rRNA from 1 species
UACGGAGGGUGCAAGCGUUAUCCGGAUUCACUGGGUUUAAAGGGUGCGUAGGUGGGAAUGUAAGUCAGUGGUGAAAUCUCCGUGCUUAACAUGGAAACUGCCAUUGAUACUAUGUUUCUUGAAUUAUCUGGAGGUCAGCGGAAUAUGUCAUGUAGCGGUGAAAUGCUUAGAUAUGACAUAGAACACCAAUUGCGAAGGCAGCUGGCUGGAGGUAAAUUGACACUGAGGCACGAAAGCGUGGGGAGCAAACAGG